CUUCCUUCCUUCCUUCCGUCCUUCCUUCCUCUCUCUUUCUCCCUCCCUUCGCCUCCCUUCCCCUCCUUUUUUUGUUGAAAGUGUUGACUCGGAGACAAAAAGAGGCCAAGAGCAAGAGUGACAGUGGGACAGCUGUCCAGACUUCCCUAGACAUUGACAAGAAUGAGAAGUGUUAUCUCUGUAAAUCCGUGGUCCCAUUCAGAGAGUACCAGAGUCAUGUAGAAUCCUGUCUCCAGCUUGCAAGGGGUGACCAAGGAGCUGGGCCUGAAGAGAGUGGGAAGGUAUGCUCAGCUAUGGAGGAGAAGCAGCAGCAGCAGCUGAGGAACCCAAAGG